CUGUGCUUCCAUUGUCGUUCACCAAAAGAAGACCAAGUAUCUGCAUUGCAUGCCUAUGAAGUUGUAUGUUGUGCAGAGGAACAAUACCCUCUUUAUAUCCAGAGAAGAUUGUUAAAGAGCUGGUAGCAACCAUUUGAAACAGCAACUGAAGAGAGUCAUCCUCAACCAAACACUCUGCUGCUGAAGGAUGGCUUGCCAAUG
rnacentral:misc_RNA from 1 species